GGGGCCGUAGUCUAGCCUGGAUAAGGCACCAGCCUGCGGAGUUGGUAAUCCCCGGUUCGAAUCCGGGCGGUCCCGCCA
rnacentral:tRNA from 1 species